UCGCCAUUGCGUGCAUGGCGAACGGUAGAAAAUGUUGAGCCAAUUGACGACAAAUUGAGAUGAAUUUAUUGUAGUGAAAAUUUCAGUGUGUGUAAUUAAUAUAUAUAUAUAUAAAACCCAAAGUUAAUUGAAGGAUGUGCACAAAUUACUAAUUACAACAACAAUUUCGGGGAAAUUAAUUCGGAUUAUUGUGAACCUAAACUGCAACGUAACUGGAGCCGAAGGACAUGUGCAACAACGAAAUGCCGCUAUGCGUGUGCACAACAGCAAGAGCAGCAGCAACAACAACAACAACAACAGCAGCACAACUAUUGCAUUAGCCGUCCAUAGCAACAGCAGCAGCAGGAGCAGCAGGAAACGUAUUUACAGGAGUCUAACGGCAGGUUACGGCGCCUGUCCUGCCGCUAACAACUGAUUGAGCAAACGAGCAUUGUGUAAAUAAUGAUGCAACUACAAUUUCAACAGCAGCAGCAACAGCAUCGGUGUUAUAAAUAACACAAGGACAUGGAUGGGCGCAACGAACGCGAGGACAAAGACGACAUCAGCUGCAUGUGUGACAAAAAUAAAUGCGGCCAUGCACAUCUGCAUACGCAAGUGGUGCUAAAAUUAAAAUACUUAUAGUUGUAUAUGUCACACACACAUAUAUACACACACCACCUAUAUAGAUAUACACAUAUAUAAUAUUUAAUGCAAUUGCACGUGGAGUGCACGAGCAAGUGACAGCUAAGUGAAUUUUUCAGAUAAUUGCCCCGUGCGCCAAAAAGUAGGCAGCAAAAAACGUAAAAGCUCAAGCUAAACUACGCCAAGCACACACACACACGCAACGGC
rnacentral:misc_RNA from 1 species